CCAAGGCGCUUGAGAGAACUCGGGUGAAGGAACUAGGCAAAAUGGUACCGUAACUUCGGGAGAAGGUACGCCCCUGGUAUGUGAAGCGACUUGCUCGUGGAGCAGAAGGGGGUUGCAGUGACCAGAUGGCUGCGACUGUUUAGCAAAAACACAGCACUCUGCUAACACGAAAGUGGACGUAUAGGGUGUGACGCCUGCCCGGUGCCGGAAGGUUAAUUGAUGGGGUUAGCGUAAGCGAAGCUCUUGAUCGAAGCCCCGGUAAACGGCGGCCGUAACGAUAACGGUCCUAAGGUAGCGAAAUUCCUUGUCGGGUAAGUUCCGACCUGCACGAAUGGCGUAACGACUUCCCCGCUGUCUCCAACAUCGACUCAGCGAAAUUGAAUUGCCUGUCAAGAUGCAGGCUUCCCGCGGUUAGACGGAAAGACCCCGUGCACCUUUACUACAGCUUCACACUGGCAUUAGGCCGAACAUGUGCAGGAUAGGUGGUAGGCUUCGAAGCAGGGACGCCAGUUCCUGUGGAGCCUCCCUUGAGAUACCACCCUUGUUCUGCUUGAUGUCUAACCGCGGUCCGUUAUCCGGAUCCGGGACCCUGUGUGGUGGGUAGUUUGACUGGGGCGGUCUCCUCCCAAAUAGUAACGGAGGAGCACGAAGGUUAGCUAAUCACGGUCGGACAUCGUGAGGUUAGUGCAAUGGCAUAAGCUAGCUUAACUGCGAGACAGACACGUCGAGCAGAUACGAAAGUAGGUCAUAGUGAUCCGGUGGUUCUGAAUGGAAGGGCCAUCGCUCAACGGAUAAAAGGUACUCCGGGGAUAACAGGCUGAUACCGCCCAAGAGUUCACAUCGACGGCGGUGUUUGGCACCUCGAUGUCGGCUCAUCACAUCCUGGGGCUGAAGUCGGUCCCAAGGGUAUGGCUGUUCGCCAUUUAAAGUGGUACGCGAGCUGGGUUUAGAACGUCGUGAGACAGUUCGGUCCCUAUCUGGUGUGGGCGUUGGAUGAUUGAUGGGAGCUGCUCCUAGUACGAGAGGACCGGAGUGGACGAACCGCUGGUGUUCGGGUUGUGAUGCCAAUCGCAUUGCCCGGUAGCUACGUUCGGAACGGAUAACCGCUGAAAGCAUCUAAGCGGGAAGCCGGCCCAGAGAUGAGUCAUCCCUGACAGUUUAACUGUCCUGAAGGGUUGUUUUAGACUAAGACGUUGAUAGGCAGGGUGUGGAAGCGUUGUAAGGCGUUAAGCUAACCUGUACUAAUUGCCCGA
rnacentral:rRNA from 1 species